GCGGACAGAUGGGAGCUUGCUCCCUGAUGUUAGCGGCGGACGGGUGAGUAACACGUGGGUAACCUGCCUGUAAGACUGGGAUAACUCCGGGAAACCGGGGCUAAUACCGGAUGGUUGUUUGAACCGCAUGGUUCAAACAUAAAAGGUGGCUUCGGCUACCACUUACAGAUGGACCCGCGGCGCAUUAGCUAGUUGGUGAGGUAACGGCUCACCAAGGCAACGAUGCGUAGCCGACCUGAGAGGGUGAUCGGCCACACUGGGACUGAGACACGGCCCAGACUCCUACGGGAGGCAGCAGUAGGGAAUCUUCCGCAAUGGACAAAAGUCUGACGGAGCAACGCCCCGUGAGUGAUGAAGGUUUUCGGAUCGUAGGGCUCUGUUGUUAGGGAAGAACAAGUACCGUUCGAAUAGGGCGGUACCUUGACGGUACCUAACCAGAAAGCCACGGCUAACUACGUGCCAGCAGCCGCGGUAAUACGUAGGUGGCAAGCGUUGUCCGGAAUUAUUGGGCGUAAAGGGCUCGCAGGCGG
rnacentral:rRNA from 1 species